rnacentral:tRNA from 1 species
AAAUCUUAGAAAUUUUCUUCUUUAAAUUUGCAAUUUAAUAUUUUUACUUAUAAAAUAUAAGAUU